GAAGGUGGCAAGCGUUGUUCGGAAUCACUGGGCUUAAAGCGCGCGUAGGCGGAAUAGAAAGUGUCUUGUGAAAUCCCUCGGGCUUAACCGAGGAAUUGCUUGGCAAACUUCUAUUCUUGAGGCAAGUAGGGGUACAUGGAACUCUUGGUGGAGCGGUGGAAUGCGUAGAUAUCAAGAGGAACGCCAAUGGUGAAGACAGUGUACUGGGCUUGUACUGACGCUGAGGUGCGAAAGCGUGGGGAGCGAACGGGAUUAGAUACCCCGGUAGUCCACGCCGUAAACGAUGUCUACUAGGUUGUGGGUGUUCUGACACAUUCACAGUCGCAGCAAAAGUAUUAAGUAGACCGCCUGGGGAGUACGGUCGCAAAGGCUAA
rnacentral:rRNA from 1 species